rnacentral:rRNA from 1 species
UAGGGAAUCUUCGGCAAUGGGGGCAAACCCUGACCGAGCAACGCCGCGUGAGUGAAGAAGGUUUUCGGAUCGUAAAGCUCUGUUGUAAGAGAAGAACGUGUAUGAGAGUGGAAAGUUCACACAGUGACGGUAACUUACCAGAAAGGGACGGCUAACUACGUGCCAA